CAUUGAGUGGGCCGUCUAAAGGGUGCUCAGAGAAAAAGUCUGCUAUUUGGUUUGUAAUUGCGGCCCUAGGCUUGAUGGGAGACGGUACCAGGAACUCAUCGCUAAGUUCCUCUUGCCUAAAAAGACAACUGUGAGCCUUGGUAACUUUGAUGUCAAGGCGAGAGAACAGGAAGAAGGAAAUAACAGCAAAACUGGCAAGGAAAGCAAUGUGAGGCUGAGGGCAGUACAACCUUGGGAACAUUUUUGAGCUAGAUAAAUACACCAGGGACCUGAUCCAAAGGCCACUGAAGUCAAAGAGAAUAUACAAAGAUUUCAAUGAGUUUGCAUCAGAAAUCCCACUUCAUGAUAUUUCUGCGCUUGUAAGAUGGCACCAUUUAUUGUUAUCAAUAAAUUUAUUUGAAGAGAAGGAUGUGGGUUAUGA
rnacentral:lncRNA from 1 species